rnacentral:rRNA from 2 species
AGUUUGAUCAUGGCUCAGGACGAACGCUGGCGGCGUGCCUAAUACAUGCAAGUCGAGCGGACAGAAGGGAGCUUGCUCCCGGAUGUUAGCGGCGGACGGGUGAGUAACACGUGGGUAACCUGCCUGUAAGACUGGGAUAACUCCGGGAAACCGGAGCUAAUACCGGAUAGUUCCUUGAACCGCAUGGUUCAAGGAUGAAAGACGGUUUCGGCUGUCACUUACAGAUGGACCCGCGGCGCAUUAGCUAGUUGGUGAGGUAACGGCUCACCAAGGCGACGAUGCGUAGCCGACCUGAGAGGGUGAUCGGCCACACUGGGGCUGAGACACGGCCCAGACUCCUACGGGAGGCAGCAGUAGGGAAUCUUCCGCAAUGGACGAAAGUCUGACGGAGCAACGCCGCGUGAGUGAUGAAGGUUUUCGGAUCGUAAAGCUCUGUUGUUAGGGAAGAACAAGUGCAAGAGUAACUGCUUGCACCUUGACGGUACCUAACCAGAAAGCCACGGCUAACUACGUGCCAGCAGCCGCGGUAAUACGUAGGUGGCAAGCGUUGUCCGGAAUUAUUGGGCGUAAAGGGCUCGCAGGCGGUUUCUUAAGUCUGAUGUGAAAGCCCCCGGCUCAACCGGGGAGGGUCAUUGGAAACUGGGAAACUUGAGUGCAGAAGAGGAGAGUGGAAUUCCACGUGUAGCGGUGAAAUGCGUAGAGAUGUGGAGGAACACCAGUGGCGAAGGCGACUCUCUGGUCUGUAACUGACGCUGAGGAGCGAAAGCGUGGGGAGCGAACAGGAUUAGAUACCCUGGUAGUCCACGCCGUAAACGAUGAGUGCUAAGUGUUAGGGGGUUUCCGCCCCUUAGUGCUGCAGCUAACGCAUUAAGCACUCCGCCUGGGGAGUACGGUCGCAAGACUGAAACUCAAAGGAAUUGACGGGGGCCCGCACAAGCGGUGGAGCAUGUGGUUUAAUUCGAAGCAACGCGAAGAACCUUACCAGGUCUUGACAUCCUCUGACAACCCUAGAGAUAGGGCUUUCCCUUCGGGGACAGAGUGACAGGUGGUGCAUGGUUGUCGUCAGCUCGUGUCGUGAGAUGUUGGGUUAAGUCCCGCAACGAGCGCAACCCUUGAUCUUAGUUGCCAGCAUUCAGUUGGGCACUCUAAGGUGACUGCCGGUGACAAACCGGAGGAAGGUGGGGAUGACGUCAAAUCAUCAUGCCCCUUAUGACCUGGGCUACACACGUGCUACAAUGGACAGAACAAAGGGCUGCGAGACCGCAAGGUUUAGCCAAUCCCACAAAUCUGUUCUCAGUUCGGAUCGCAGUCUGCAACUCGACUGCGUGAAGCUGGAAUCGCUAGUAAUCGCGGAUCAGCAUGCCGCGGUGAAUACGUUCCCGGGCCUUGUACACACCGCCCGUCACACCACGAGAGUUUGCAACACCCGAAGUCGGUGAGGUAACCUUUAUGGAGCCAGCCGCCGAAGGUGGGGCAGAUGAUUGGGGUGAAGUCGUAACAAGGUAACC